rnacentral:sRNA from 1 species
GGAAGCUCACAGUCAGAUUGAAAAGCGGCGUCGGGAUAAAAUGAACAGUUUUAUAGAUGAAUUGGCUUCUUUGGUACCAACAUGCAACGCAAUGUCCAGGAAAUUAGAUAAACUUACUGUGCUAAGGAUGGCUGUUCAGCACAUGAAAACGUUAAGAGGUGCCACCAAUCCAUACACAGAAGCAAACUACAAACCAACUUUUCUAUCAGACGAUGAAUUGAAACACCUCAUUCUCAGGGCAGCAGAUGGAUUUUUGUUUGUCGUAGGAUGUGACCGAGGGAAGAUACUCUUUGUCUCAGAGUCUGUCUUCAAGAUCCUCAACUACAGCCAGAAUGAUCUGAUUGGUCAGAGUUUGUUUGACUACCUGCAUCCUAAAGAUAUCGCCAAAGUCAAGGAGCAGCUCUCCUCCUCUGACACCGCACCCCGGGAGCGGCUCAUAGAUGCAAAAAGAUGAAGUGUAACAGGCCUUCAGUAAAGGUUGAAGACAAGGACUUCCCCUCUACCUGCUCAAAGAAAAAAGAUCGAAAAAGCUUCUGCACAAUCCACAGCACAGGCUAUUUGAAAAGCUGGCCACCCACAAAGAUGGGGCUGGAUGAAGACAACGAACCAGACAAUGAGGGGUGUAACCUCAGCUGCCUCGUCGCAAUUGGACGACUGCAUUCUCAUGUAGUUCCACAACCAGUGAACGGGGAAAUCAGGGUGAAAUCUAUGGAAUAUGUUUCUCGGCACGCGAUAGAUGGAAAGUUUGUUUUUGUAGACCAGAG